rnacentral:rRNA from 1 species
AGUGAAAUAGAACAUGAAACCGUGAGCUUACAAGCAAUUAGAGCACGAUUAAACGUGUGAUAGUGUGCCUGUUGAAGAAUGAGCCGGCGACUUAUAGGGUCUGGCAGAUUAAGCGGUAAUACGCGAAGUCAAAGGGAAACCGAGUCUUAAUAGGGCGUUAGUCAGAUUUUAUAGACCCGAACCCAGGUGAUCUAACCAUGUCCAGGAUGAAGCUUGGGUAACACUAAGUGGAGGUCCGAACCGACUUCUGUUGAAAAGGAGCGGAUGAGGUGUGGUUAGGGGUGAAAUGCCAAUCGAACCUGGAGCUAGCUGGUUCUCCUCGAAAUGUGUUUAGGCGCAGCGGCAUUGAUUAUAGCCGGGGGUAAAGCACUGAUUCUGCGGGCUGCGAGAGCGGUACCAAACCGAGGCAAACUCUGAAUACUAAACUGGUACUCGGCCAGUCAGACGGUGGGGAUAAGCUUCAUC